GAUGAAGAACGCAGCGAAAUGCGAUAAGUAAUGUGAAUUGCAGAAUUCAGUGAAUCAUCGAAUCUUUGAACGCACAUUGCGCCCUCUGGUAUUCCGGGGGGCAUGCCUGUUCGAGCGUCAUUAUAACCACUCAAGCUCUCGCUUGGUAUUGGAGUUCGCGAUCUCGCAGCUCCUAAAAUCAGUGGCGGUGCCUGUCGGCUCUACGCGUAGUAAUACUCCUCGCGAUUGAGUCCGGUAGGUUUACUUGCCAGCAACCCCCAAUUUUUACAGGUUGACCUCGGAUCAGGUAGGGAUACCCGCUGAACUUAAGCAUAUCAAUAAGCGGAGGA
rnacentral:misc_RNA from 1 species